ACUCGUGAACUGUGGGGCUUAAUCUCUCCCCCUGCAGAUCCGGGUGCGGGGCAACCCGUUUAACUGAUCCUCAAGGAG
ncrna:unclassified sequences L20-Deltaproteobacteria ribosomal protein leader